rnacentral:rRNA from 1 species
UGAGGAAUAUUGGUCAAUGGGCGAGAGCCUUAACCAGCCAAGUAGCGUGCAGGAUGACGGCCCUAUGGGUUGUAAACUGCUUUUAUAUGGGAAUAAAGUGAGGGACGUGUCCCUUAUUGCAUGUACCAUACGAAUAAGGACCGGCUAAUUCCGUGCCAGCAGCCGCGGUAAUACGGAAGGUCCAGGCGUUAUCCGGAUUUAUUGGGUUUAAAGGGAGCGUAGGCUGUUUGUUAAGCGUGUUGUGAAAUGUAAGAGCUCAACUUUUAGAUUGCAGCGCGAACUGGCAGACUUGAGUGCGCACAACGUAGGCGGAAUUCAUGGUGUAGCGGUGAAAUGCUUAGAUAUCAUGACGAACUCCGAUUGCGAAGGCAGCUUACGGGAGCGCAACUGACGCUAAAGCUCGAAGGUGCGGGUAUCGAACAGG